AAGAUGGACAAUCCAACAUGGAUUUCAAGUUGGAUACAAUGAGGAGGGAAAAUGAAAUUCUUUGGAAGGAGGUUUCUUCUCUGAGAAGGAAGCACAGCCAACAGCAGAAACUUCUUGCAAAGGCCAUUAACAAUUGAAGCUUCACAGUCCUCUUCCCUAA